AGGCGCGUAGCUCAGUUGGUUAGAGCGCCACGUUGACAUCGUGGAGGUCGUUGGUUCAACUCCAAUCGCGCCUACCA
rnacentral:tRNA from 1 species